rnacentral:rRNA from 1 species
UACGUAGGGUGCGAGCGUUGUCCGGAAUUAUUGGGCGUAAAGGGCUCGUAGGCGGUCUGUUGCGUCGGGAGUGAAAACUCAGGGCUUAACCCUGAGCCUGCUUCCGAUACGGGCAGACUAGAGGUAUGCAGGGGAGAACGGAAUUCCUGGUGUAGCGGUGAAAUGCGCAGAUAUCAGGAGGAACACCGGUGGCGAAGGCGGCAUCCUGGACCGGCAUGACGCUGAGGCGCGAAAGCCAGGGGAGCAAACGGG